GCUUAAGAGGCAUGAAAUUGUAAACAUAACACCCAGCCAGUGUCCCAGUCAGUAGCCACUCUGCCACUCUUUCUCCAGAAUGAAAUACUAGAUGGUUUUAUCGGGGCUCUUCAAUCCCAGUGAAGGGAUAAUGAAGACUAUAGACCCCACCCCUGUCUUUCUGAAAUGUUGAUGGUUUGUGACCAAGCAGCAUUUUUAUGCCAUGUGCCAUUUUCAGACUGGAGAAGGAAAAGGUGCAAGGAUGUCAUGUUCCAAAUACAUACUUCACAUCUCCCCCCACCCAGAAUUGCUGCACAGAAGCAGAAAUCCGGGCAAGCAGGCAUGCCCUGUUGAUAGAUGAAAAGAAGAUAUCCAAAGCCAUGGUCAGACCCACAGUUCUUCCAAUAUGCAGAUAGUGACACAGAUUAAAACUUGUCCUGCCAAAGACAGAUCCCCUCCCUGAAGAUCUUACGUUCUGAAUUUGAACAGUGAAAGAAAAUAUCAAGGGAUAGGAGGGACAAGGAAAAUAAUAGAAAGAAGGGAGGAGCGAGAGAGGGGAGACUAGCAAGAUCUGGAUGCCAACAAUGUUGUUAACAUAUUUUUCCCAAGCAUUUGACCCUCUUCACACCUCUUUUGUUGUCACAGUGUGUUUCUCAUUGCAUAUUCUUUCUUCCCCUAUUGUUCUCCAAUAUAUCUUCCUCUGAGAAAUCCCAUGCACUGUGCUCCACAGAAAUGAUGAAGGGGAACAAAGCUGUAUCCACGGAAGGAUCCAUCACCAAGCAAGUAGUUUGUGCCCACCUCUUCGGGCUUGGUGUUGAUCAGAGCAAGAGCACUUUAUAGUCACAAUGUGUGAGCAUUAUCCAAAGACGAAUUUAGUGAGCCAAUGUGUAGCCAGACUCCUCCUUACAUUUUAUAAUUACUUUGAUUGAUGCUGCAAUCAGGCUCGAUAAAGGAAAAUCCCAAACUGUGUAAUUGUGAGCCUGGCCCUGCAUUGGUUUCAGCUCAUUAAUGAAAGUGUCACCCAUAAUUAUUAUGCCUAAAAAAGCAUUUUAUAUGCACAGUGACACACUUCAGGGUGUGUGAUCACUGUGUCAUAGGCACACUUCUCAGGUGCUGGUAACACUCGAACUUUGACCUUGCUCCUCACAAUUUCAUCUCAGCCAUGCUUCAAUGGCAUUAUAGGCUUAUGCUCUCUGCUGAUG